GACCAGACUCCUACGGGAGGCAGCAGUGGGGAAUAUUGCACAAUGGGGGAAACCCUGAUGCAGCGACGCCGCGUGAGUGAAGAAGUAUUUCGGUAUGUAAAGCUCUAUCAGCAGGGAAGAAAAUGACGGUACCUGACUAAGAAGCCCCGGCUAACUACGUGCCAGCAGCCGCGGUAAUACGUAGGGGGCAAGCGUUAUCCGGAUUUACUGGGUGUAAAGGGAGCGUAGACGGCAUGGCAAGUCAGAUGUGAAAGCCCGGGGCUCAACCCCGGGACUGCAUUUGAAACUGUCAGGCUGGAGUGCAGGAGAGGUAAGUGGAAUUCCUAGUGUAGCGGUGAAAUGCGUAGAUAUUAGGAGGAACACCAGUGGCGAAGGCGGCUUACUGGACUGUAACUGACGUUGAGGCUCGAAAGCGUGGGGAGCAAACAGGAUUAGAUACCCCGGUAC
rnacentral:rRNA from 1 species